rnacentral:lncRNA from 1 species
AAUUCACGCGCAUAAUAAUGAAUAUGAAUAUUUUGAACCAAAAAUAAUUAAAUAAAAAGAAAAACAUCAUUAAAAUAAAAAUUAAAAAUAAAUAAGUAAAAAAGAAAAAAAACAAAAGAGAUAUUCUCUCUUCUUCUUCCCUGGCCCACUUCCCUUCGCUCAACAACUGCCCCUCCAUUUUCGCCCCCCGUCCCCAUCCCCAUCAAUGUAUCCUUCUGCUUCUUCUUCCCCAUUGCCUCAAUGCUUUGACAUAUGCAUUUUUUGUGAAGAUCAGAGAAUGAACAAGACAUGUACAGAAUCGGGGCAUUCUACUUGGAACACAGAAUUCCAUAGAUAGCGAUGAGAUGGAGUCCCCUUCAUAGUGUGACGAGACCGUAACUCAAACAAGACGAUCUGUCCGGCCUAGCGAACUUUCAAUGCCA